rnacentral:lncRNA from 1 species
ACAUUUUCUGGAGCUACUGUGGCAAUCACUAGUCCUAAUCUUGGAAGGAACUGGAUUCUUUAUUCUCUUCCAGAUUUUGCGAAGGAGACUAGUCAAAGCCCGAGGAGAGAUAAGAACAUGGUGUGAUAUUUGAAGAUAAAUUGACAAGUAAAAGAAAAGCGAGAUGUCUUCAGAUCGAAGCUGCAUUAUACGAGCACUUUGGAAAUUACAGGAUUGCCAGCUUUGGGACAAAACAACAUUUGUGCUAAACAGCCGUAAGAGGAAUAUAAUUGAGAUAGCAGUGCUGUAGGAAGAUGAGCUGGCGUUCUCCUUUGAAGGUUUUAGAGCUUGACAGCCCACUUGUUAACAGAGGUGAGUCAUAGGUGGGGC